rnacentral:rRNA from 1 species
UACGUAGGGUGCGAGCGUUAUUCGGAAUUACUGGGCGUAAAGCGUGCGCAGGCGGUGACGUAAGACAGGUGUGAAAUCCCCGGGCUUAACCUGGGAACUGCAUUUGUGACUGCAUUGCUGGAGUGCGGCAGAGGGGGAUGGAAUUCCGCGUGUAGCAGUGAAAUGCGUAGAUAUGCGGAGGAACAUCGAUGGCGAAGGCAAUCCCCUGGGCCUGCACUGACGCUCAUGCACGAAAGCGUGGGGAGCAAACAGG